GACAGAGGGUGCAAACGUUGCUCGGAAUCACUGGGCGUAAAGGGCGUGUAGGCGGGAAGAAAAGUCAGAUGUGAAAUCCCUGGGCUCAACCCAGGAACUGCAUUUGAAGCUCCCUUUCUUGAGUGUCGGAGAGGAAAGCGGAAUUCCUGGUGUAGAGGUGAAAUUCGUAGAUAUCAGGAGGAACACCGGUGGCGAAGGCGGCUUUCUGGACGACAACUGACGCUGAGACGCGAAAGCGUGGGGAGCAAACAGG
rnacentral:rRNA from 1 species